rfam:Anopheles minimus strain MINIMTS1 unplaced genomic scaffold supercont1.2, whole genome shotgun sequence.
CCUUCGAUAGCUCAGUUGGUAGAGCGGUGGACUGUAGCGGAGCGCGCGUUUCACAACGCCCAUAGUUAUCCAUAGGUCACUGGUUCAAAUCCGGUUCGAAGGA